CGAAUGACUCUCGGCAAUGGAUAUCUCGGCUCUUGCAUCGAUGAAGAACGUAGUGAAAUGCGAUACUUGGUGUGAAUUGCAGAAUCUCGUGAACCAUUGAGUCUUUGAACGCAAGUUGUGCCCAAGGCUUUAUGGUCGAGGGCACGUCUGCUUGGGCGUCAUGG
rnacentral:rRNA from 1 species